rnacentral:misc_RNA from 1 species
UUUCAUGGGUUUGGGGUAGUGCUGGUAGUCUGUGUUUACGUGUCAUUGGAAUUUUUUAUAUUUUUUUUUCCUUUUUAAUAAGUAUUUUUCAUUUUCUUGAAGCUAUAACUUGUCUCGGCGUCCAGCAAAUUUGACAUCCCUUUGGGGAUUAGAUCUCUGUAUAACGAGUUUACUAUGAAUUUUUUUUAAUAUCCUGUCUAAAAUAUACUAGCAAUUGUUACAAGCAUAUGCAUAGUUUCAUUUUUAGUGCAUAGGUUCCUCAGUAAAUAGUGAAUCCGCACAGGUUCAUGUUUAGUUCAGAAUUGUUAAUAUUAUAAUAUUUAUUGUUUUAUAGUAUAAUAUUCUAAUUCUUUGUAAUAUAAUUUGUUAUGAUGCAAUGCGUCUAUUCCAUCUAUAAAUUUCAUUAUUGAUUAACCCAAAAACUAUACUUAGGGUGUGUGUUUCCAUCUAAUCCUGUUUCGAUUAGGUUUCUCUUUUGUUUCAUUGUAAAUGCUAUUUGUGUUUCCAUGAGUGUUUUUCGGGGUUCUCUUUGAUUUCUCCAUGGCAUUAGGUUAUUUUUUUUAUUGGUAUAAUGUCAAUUUAACUUUCUUCCAUAAAUACAAUUUGGAUCCACAAUAACAGAACAUAGUCUCUCUCUGAUUUCCUACAUGUUCAAGCUGUUCAUCUUUGAUGAUAGAACCUAAACUGCAACUGAAGAUUUAACUGAAAAGCAAAACAAGUAUAUGAGGAAUAAAAAGCUAAAAAGUUGAAAUCACUAUCGGGCAAUUUUGUUUCUUAUUUUAUGUUUAAGCAUUUGGUAAUUUGCUUUUGAUCUCAAUUUCUGUUUAUAGAUUUGAUUCUGUUAAAUGUUGUUACCAUGCGUAUUUGGUGCUUCAUGAAAUUAUGUUUUAUUGCCCCAGAAAAUAUGAUUCCUGCUCAAUUUUAAAGAAAUGGGUGAAGAGGACAUUCAACAAAUUACAAGAAGAACAACUCGGUCCUUUUCUUCCUCUGCUGCUACAGGCAAUGAGGCUGAGAAAACAAAAAUAAGUGAAUCGUACGCUCCCAACCUCAAAGAUCUCAUUUUUGGAGGGGAUCACCUUAGCUAUGACGAUCUGCUAUCUAGUUUUCCCACUAGAGGUGUCCAGAUUUCUCAGAUAGUACAUCUUUUGGGUCCCUUGAACGCCCCCAUGCUUCCUAUAUUUAUUUAUGGAGGUGCUUCAACUGGAAAAACCAGUAUUAUUCUCCAAAUUUUUAGACAUCUCAAUCGCCCUUUGGUUUAUGCAAGCUACCGGACUUGUUAUAGUCCUUGCCUCUUUUUUGAAUCCAUUUUAAAUCAGUUGUUGCUUUAUAAAAAGAAUGCAGUCAAUGGCUAUUCAAGUUCAAAACGCUGUGAAAAGCCAUCUGAUUUUGUUAAUUUUCUCCAUGAAUCUUUGCUGAGUGUCAUCAAUGAUCUCAAAGUGAACACAAGGAAAUUGAGCUCUAAUAAGUUGGCUGGGCAGCCCAAUGGAAGUAUGGUCUACUUGAUACUUGACAAUUUGGAGCUUGUUCGCGAUUGGGAUAAAAGUUCUACUAUAUUACCUUUUAUGUUUAACCUUUAUGAUAUUUUGAAGAUGCCUGAAGUGGGACUCAUAUAUAUUAGCAAUACUUCACCUGAUACAUAUUACUCCAAUGUGGGAUAUGUGGAGCCUAUUCCUGUUUAUUUUCCUGAAUACACAGAAGAAGAUCUUCGCCAAAUUUUCUUGAGAAACCAAGCAAAUCAAAAGCUCUACUCAUCCUUUCUUGAUGUUGUCCUCAAACCAUUUUGUAGAGUUACCAGACGAGUAGAUGAUUUAUCUACUACCUUUUCAUCAUUGUUUAGAAAAUAUUGUGAACCCUUGAAUGACUUGGAACAUGUACCCAAUGAAGAGAUGAAGAGAAGGUUGUUCAGUCAUUUUCAACCACACAUUGCCCUUUCUUUGAAUGAGAUAUUCGAGGUUCACUCUUGGCCUCUCCUUGAAGUUGAAUCCAACAAGGAGAAAAAGCGGAAAAGUAGCAUAAGAAAGUCAGGAGGCUGUGAAGAUUUUGCCGAGUUAGAUUUUCAUAUGUCUACUUCUGCAAAGUAUCUUCUUAUUUCAGCAUUCCUUGCUUCAAGAAACCCAGCUACUCUUGAUGCAUCUUUGUUUGAUUCAACUGCAGGUUCAGAUAGUCACAAACGUAAGAGGAAGGCUUCUGUAAAAUCAUUAGAGCAGAAGGAAGCUGCAGAACAGGAAUUACUUGUGAAAGGACCUGGAACUUUCCCAUUGGAGAGGUUAUUAGCUAUUUUUCAAUGUAUAUCAUCUGUAGUGGAAGGUCCACUUGAUGAAGAAAAUGAAAAUGAUGUCCUAAGAUUUGAAAGUGGGGAUAGUGGGUUCAUGUCUGAUGUUCUAAUGCAAUUGUCCAGCCUCUGUAAUGCUAAUUUUAUUAUUAAAGGAGGAAGCUGCCCUUUGGAGGGUUCAACUCGGUAUCGUUCUAUGAUUACUGAAGAUAUGGCUUUGAAGGUAGCUAGGAGCCUGAAGUUUCCUCUGCCAAACUACUUAUACAGAAGAUAAUGUCAAGUGUGGUCAUUAAGUAUUCGUCAAAGAUAAACCAUACAGAAGCUUGAGAGGUGAAGAUAACCAAACAUUGGACAGAGGGAAGAGCUGUUGUGAGAUUCGUUUAGUGGAGACUGACAGUAGACUAGUUAUCAAAGAGAGAAUUAUUUGUAUCUGUAUUGGAAAAACAAAAUGGAGAAAUAAUGCUUUGGUCACAUCUUGAAGCUAUAUUCCAGUUUCAGAAGCAGGUUGCUGGUCAGGCAGAUGAGAUGGACUAGUUUGAAACAAGUGUCCAGAGCAUCUUCUUAAUUUUUCCAUCUAUUUUAUUAAUAUCUGAUUCUACAUUACGUCUUAAGAGGAUGUUUGUUGUCCUACUAGAAAUAAUAUAUAUAAAUAUCCUUAAAUAUGCAAUAUUAAUAGCUUA